UUGCGCCUGCGAUGGACGCAGCAUCAUCCAUCCUCAUGCCUUGCAGGCGGCCGGGUGAUGUCCCCGUCCGGUGAUCAGCAAUUUUGCUGAUUCAAAAUCUUUC
rnacentral:sRNA from 1 species